UUUCCGUAGGUGAACCUGCGGAAGGAUCAUUAUUGUAUAACCGAGGUGCAAGGGCUGUCGCUGACCCGACAGGUCGUGCACGCCCGAGUGCCCUCACACACAUCCAUCUCACCCCUAUGUGCACCACCGCGUGGGUCCCCCUUUGGCUUGUUCGGAGGGGGGCUUACGUGUUCACACAAACUUUGUAUGCAGUGUAGAAUGUAUUUUUUGUUUUUGCGAUCACGCAAUCAAUACAACUUUCAACAACGGAUCUCUUGGCUCUCGCAUCUAUGAAUAAC
rnacentral:misc_RNA from 1 species